rnacentral:rRNA from 1 species
UGCCAGCAGCCGCGGUAAUACGUAGGGUGCGAGCGUUGUCCGGAAUUACUGGGCGUAAAGAGCUCGUAGGUGGUUUGUCGCGUCGUCUGUGAAAUUCUGGGGCUUAACUCCGGGCGUGCAGGCGAUACGGGCAUAACUUGAGUGCUGUAGGGGUAAUUGGAAUUCCUGGUGUAGCGGUGAAAUGCGUAGAGAUCUGGAGGAAUACCGGUGGCGAAGGCGGCCCCCUGGACGAAGACUGACGCUCAGGUGCGAAAGCGUGGGGAGCAAACAGGAUUAGAUACCCUGGUAGUCCACGCCGUAAACGAUGUCGACUUGGAGGUUGUGCCCUUGAGGCGUGGCUUCCGGAGCUAACGCGUUAAGUCGACCGCCUGGGGAGUACGGCCGCAAGGUUAAAACUCAAAUGAAUUGACGGGGGCCCGCACAAG